UACAGAGGUCUCAAGCGUUGUUCGGAUUCAUUGGGCGUAAAGGGUGCGUAGGCGGCGCGGUAAGUCGGGUGUGAAAUCUCGGGGCUUAACUCCGAAACUGCAUUCGAUACUGCCGUGCUUGAGGACUGGAGAGGAGACUGGAAUUUACGGUGUAGCGGUGAAAUGCGCAGAUAUCAGGAGGAACACCAAUGGCGAAGGCAGCUCGCUGGGACGGUACUGACGCUGAGGAGCGAAAGCGUGGGUAGCAAACAGG
rnacentral:rRNA from 1 species